GACGAACGCUGGCGGCGUGCUUAACACAUGCAAGUCGAACGAGUGGCGAACGGGUGAGUAAUACGUCAGUAACCUGCCCUCUUUAUGGGAUAAGCCUUGGAAACGGGGUCUAAUACCGAAUAAAGGGGGAUGGGCGGGCGGCCUAUCGGGUUGUUGGUGGGGUGAUGGCCUACCAAGGCGGUGACGGGUAGCCGCCCUGGGAGGGUGACCGGGCACAGUGGGACUGAGAGACGGCCCAGACUCAGACGGGGGGGAGCAGUGGGGGAUAUUGCACAAUGGGCGAAAGCCUGAUGCAGCGACGCCGCGUGGGGGAUGAAGGCUUUCGGGUUGUAAACCUCUUGCGCGAUCGAAGGGUAGGUGGAGAAGAAGCGCCGGCUAACGACGUGCCAGCAGCCGCGGUAAUUC
rnacentral:rRNA from 1 species